rnacentral:rRNA from 1 species
AUGGAGUUGUUCAGCACAAAGUUGAAUAGUGGGUCUGUGCUUGCCCAUACAGAACCAGAUUGCACAGGAACAACAGUAAUUCCUCCAGGGAAUCCCAACAACUCGAUGGAAGAUGGAUAACCAAAAAUUGAUGGUGUCAAGGAUAGGUUCAGCUGCUUCAGCAUCAUCCCUAUUAAGGAUGACCUCAGUACACUAAGGGCCGGCAAACUUAUCGAAGCAUCUUUUGGAUAA